rnacentral:sRNA from 1 species
CUUUAACAAUCUGGAACAAGCUGAAAAUUGAAACAUGACAGCUGAACAUACUGACACGACAGUAAUGUGGUGUGAGUGAUGCAUCAGUCUGUCAAUGAGUCUCUCAAAUAAUCGCAGCACGACAGUGACUUUAUUUAUCAAAGACACCUUCGG